rnacentral:rRNA from 1 species
GACGAACGCUGGCGGUGUGCUUCACACAUGCAAGUCGAACGGGGUAGCAAUACCCAGUGGCGGACGGGUGAGUAACACGUGGGAAUCUACCAUUAGAUGGGGAAUAACAGGCCGAAAGGACUGCUAAUGCCGCAUAUGUAUGUGCCUCGACAGGGGCGUAUAUGAAAGGAGUAAUCCGUCUGAUGAUGAGUCCCGNGUCCGAUUAGCUAGUUGGUAGGUAAAGCCACCAAGGCGACGAUCGGUAGGUGGUCUGAGAGGAUGAUCACCCACAAUGGGACUGAGACACGGCCCAUACUCCUACGGGAGGCAG